UGGGGAAUAUUGCACAAUGGAGGGAACUCUGAUGCAGCGACGCCGCGUGAACGAAGAAGGCUUUCGAGUCGUAAAGUUCUUUUAUAUGGGAAGAUAAUGACGGUACCAUAAGAAAAAGCCACGGCUAACUACGUGCCAGCAGCCGCGGUAAUACGUAGGUGGCGAGCGUUAUCCGGAUUUACUGGGUGUAAAGGGCGUGCAGGCGGGCUGAUAAGUCAGAUGUGAAAUCCCCGAGCUUAACUCGGGAACUGCAUCUGAUACUGUUGGUCUUGAGUGCUGGAGAGGAUAGUGGAAUUCCUAGUGUAGCGGUAAAAUGCGCAGAUAUUAGGAAGAACACCGGUGGCGAAGGCGACUUUCUGGACGACAACUGACGCUUAGGCGCGAAAGCGUGGGGAGCAAACAGG
rnacentral:rRNA from 1 species